CAACGCUUUGAGUGGACGCUCCGUAUCAUAUUAAUUCUUUUAUGCGCAAUUCGUUUGUAAUUUAGUGCGAAUAAAGUGUAAAAAUCAAGACUGUGCAAUCAAUUAAGAUCUUCUAUCCACGACAGCGUUCUUUAUAUCGUCGAUACCAGUUGAGACUCUGGCGUGGUCCGGGAAGCUGCGAAAUAGUAAGAAGUAAUAGAAAUAUCCUUCCGCCGUCGUAGGAUCAGUGGCGUCGAUCUUUCAAAAGGGAAUUUGAAGCUGUUCAUUAUUCUGAUCGAAGUCGUCGACACAAAGGCUCCGAAAGCAAGAGGAGAAAGAAGUG
rnacentral:lncRNA from 11 species